AACCAGCACAGGUCCUUCACUUGAAGGUUUAGGAGGGAGUAUGUCCCAGCCAGUAACUUAAUUAUGGACUCUCAGUCUCCAGCGCAUUGAAGCAAUAAACUUCUGAGCUCUAAGAAUCCCAAGUGGUGGCAUCUGAUAAUAGUAACCUCUCCCAUCAAGUAUAGCAUCCAAGAAAAUAUAGAAAUCUCCGUGUCUGGACCUCAGUCUGAUAAUCUAUUUCCCACAAGUUAGUAUGCUAUUAACAGGAUUGCAUUCUCCAUUGUCCUGUGGGUACAUGCUAGCUCUUCAUAUGACGGCGAGGCAUUCUCACCUGUCUCAUUCUCUAAUGGUGAUUAUGUAUGUAUGUAUGUAUGUAUGUAUGCCUGCCACAGUCCUUGAGUGUGGUUUUACUGUUCUUCUCACUUGUCUUUUUAUAGAUAGGGACAUUGCUGCCCCAAAAAACUAAGCUAUGUUCAAGAGAACACCCUGUGCAGCUGAACCUCCCAUCUGGACCUGCGCACACCAAGUCACCCCACAAAGCCAAACUCCACUUCCUCUACUCGGCUUCCCCUACAGAAUGUGGCACCAUGGUCACAGAGGGACGGACUCCGAACACUCUCCUUAGCUCAUGUAGCACAGCGAAAUCAAAGUCGAAAUCUUUACAUUUUGAGGAGCCAUUUCUUACUGCUUUCUGAGGACAUCGAGAACAUACGGUGACUUGUGGAGCUGGCAGCAGAACAAUGGAAGCCUGUGUCAUGAUACACACUGGACAGGGGCUAAAUGGCUACUUAUUUGCUGGUCAGAGAGCCCUCACCUGAGAGUUUCUAGUUCGUUUCAACGCCAUCUCUAAAACAAGUGCCAACUCAGUGACUUUCCAGCCUCCAUGCUAACAUCCACAGGGUCAGUGAGAUUACCCCCUCAAUUUUCAGAAAGCUCUCAAAUUUUAGUCUUUUAUUUGUUGCUGUUGCUUUUAUUUUUAAAUCUUUCCCUGAGACCCUUCUCCAUUGGUCCUAAGCCAAUAUCUUCAAUUCCUUUUUUUUUUUAACAAACUAGACUCCUUUUACAUAUGACAUCCACUUAAAUAUGUGAAGACACCCCUUUUGUCUCCUGAAUAUCACAUGUGCCAUAAAUGGUAAGUAGUAAACACAGGGUUUUUGAUUUAUAGAAAUUCUAAACACAUUCCCAGCAACUAUGAGUUAAUCAGAAUAAAGCCUUGACAGAGGAUCUCUCUCAAGUAUACUAAUGCAUUAAAUGGUACCUGAUCAACCAA